UGAGUCUUUAACGGGCCUCGCUGUUUGCAAUGUUUGUGCUUCUUGGGUGUACUUUUUCGUAUGGUAGGCCAACGUCAGUUUCGAUUACCGUAAAAUGAUCGGAGGAAUGUAGCUUCGAUCUCGUAUUGAAGUGUUAUAGCCUCUGGUAGAUGCGGUGAUCGAAACUGAGGAUUGCAACGAAUACCCUUUGGGCUAUCCGUCUGACCUCUGAAAGUUACUUAGGUGCUGAAAGCGUGCUUACGGUAUUUAAGUUGACGGUCAACAGGUUAGAACGUGAUUACA
rnacentral:rRNA from 1 species